rnacentral:rRNA from 1 species
UCUCGAAUAAGUUUGAUCCUGGCUCAGGGAUGAACGCUAGCGGCAGGCUUAAACACAUGCAAGUCGAAGAGGUAGAGGAAGCUUGCUUCCUUGAGACCGGCGCACGGUUGCGUAACGCGUAUGCAGCCUACCUUUUACAGAGGGAUAGCCCAGAGAAAUUUGGAUUAAUACCUCAUGGUAUAUAUCAUUCGCAUGUUUUGAUAUAUUAAAGUUCCAACGGUAAAAGAUGGGCAUGCGUCCUAUUAGCUAGAUGGUAAGGUAACGGCUUACCAUGGCAACGAUAGGUAGGGGUCCUGAGAGGGAGAUCCCCCACACUGGUACUGAGACACGGACCAGACUCCUACGGGAGGCAGCAGUGAGGAAUAUUGGACAAUGGGCGCAAGCCUGAUCCAGCCAUGCCGCGUGCAGGAAGAAGCAUCUAUGGUGUGUAAACUGCUUUUGUACGGGAAGAAACACUCCUUCGUGAAGGAGCUUGACGGUACCGUAAGAAUAAGGAUCGGCUAACUCCGUGCCAGCAGCCGCGGUAAUACGGAGGAUCCAAGCGUUAUCCGGAAUCAUUGGGUUUAAAGGGUCCGUAGGCGGUUUGGUAAGUCAGUGGUGAAAGCCCGCAGCUCAACUGUGGAACGGCCAUUGAUACUGCCAGACUUGAAUUACAAGGAAGUAACUAGAAUAUGUAGUGUAGCGGUGAAAUGCUUAGAUAUUACAUGGAAUACCAAUUGCGAAGGCAGGUUACUACUUGUGGAUUGACGCUGAUGGACGAAAGCGUGGGGAGCGAACAGGAUUAGAUACCCUGGUAGUCCACGCCGUAAACGAUGGAUACUAGCUGUUGGGGGCAACUUCAGUGGCUAAGCGAAAGUGAUAAGUUCCCAC